UCCAAGGUAAGUAGUCAUGUGUUUUUGUUGCUGAAUAAUGGAGCAUGUCGAAUAGCAAGUUUCCAGAAUGUCGAAGGAGCAUUCUGUCAUCUUCACUGAUGAUAUUAUUGUCACAGAAUUCUUUCCAUCCUUCCCAAACCAAUUUUCUAAAAUGCUAAUGGUCCAUGUUCUAUACCCUUCUCGAAUAGUUAUCUUAUGUUGGCGGUGUUUUCUUAGAAGCA
rnacentral:lncRNA from 1 species